AGAGUUUGAUCAUGGCUCAGGAUGAACGCUAGCUACAGGCUUAACACAUGCAAGUCGAGGGGUAACAUUGGCGGAGCUUGCUCUGCCAGAUGACGACCGGCGCACGGGUGAGUAACGCGUAUCCAACCUGCCCAUGGGUCAGGGAUAAACUCCCGAAAGGGAGCCUAAUACCUGAUGUUGUGAGAAGAAGGCCUCUGAUUUUUACGAAAGACUUCGGUCGCCGAUGGAUGGGGAUGCGUACGAUUGGGCAGCAGGCGGGGUAACGGCCCACCUGGCCAACGAUCGUUAGGGGUUCUGAGAGGAAGGUCCCCCACACUGGUACUGAGACACGGACCAGACUCCUACGGGAGGCAGCAGUGAGGAAUAUUGGUCAAUGGGCGGAAGCCUGAACCAGCCAAGUAGCGUGCAGGAUGACUGCCCUAUGGGUUGUAAACUGCUUUUAUGCGGGGAUAAAGUGGGCCACGCGUGGCUUAUUGCAGGUACCGCAUGAAUAAGGACCGGCUAAUUCCGUGCCAGCAGCCGCGGUAAUACGGAAGGUCCGGGCGUUAUCCGGAUUUAUUGGGUUUAAAGGGAGCGUAGGCGGGCUGUUAAGCGUGUCGUGAAAAGCAUCGGCUCAACCGGUGUCGUGCGGCGCGGACUGGCGGUCUUGAGUGGGUAGAAAGCCGGCGGAAUUCGUGGUGUAGCGGUGAAAUGCUUAGAUAUCACGAAGAACUCCGAUUGCGAAGGCAGCUGGCUGUAUCCUUACUGACGCUAAAGCUCGAAAGCGCGGGUAUCGAACAGGAUUAGAUACCCUGGUAGUCCGCGCGGUAAACGAUGGAUGCUCGUUGUGCGGCCAUUAUGGUUGCGCGACCAAGCGAAAGCGUUAAGCAUCCCACCUGGGGAGUACGCCGGCAACGGUGAAACUCAAAGGAAUUGACGGGGGCCCGCACAAGCGGAGGAACAUGUGGUUUAAUUCGAUGAUACGCGAGGAACCUUACCCGGGCUUGAACUGCAGAGGAAAGAUCCAGAGAUGGUGAUGCCCUUCGGGGCCUCUGCGGAGGUGCUGCAUGGUUGUCGUCAGCUCGUGCCGUGAGGUGUCGGCUUAAGUGCCAUAACGAGCGCAACCCUUCUCCGAAGUUGCCAUCAGGUUAUGCUGGGCACUCUUCGGACACUGCCACCGCAAGGUGUGAGGAAGGUGGGGAUGACGUCAAAUCAGCACGGCCCUUACGUCCGGGGCUACACACGUGUUACAAUGGCGCGUACAGAGCGCAGGCCGGCGGCGACGCCGGUCCAAUCCUCAAAACGCGUCUCAGUUCGGAUUGGGGUCUGCAACCCGACCCCAUGAAGCUGGAUUCGCUAGUAAUCGCGCAUCAGCCAUGGCGCGGUGAAUACGUUCCCGGGCCUUGUACACACCGCCCGUCAAGCCAUGAAAGCCGGGGGUGCCUGAAGUCCGUGACCGCGAGGGUCGGCCUAGGGCAAAACUGGUGAUUGGGGCUAAGUCGUAACAAGGUAGCCGUACCGGAAGGUGCGGCUGGAACACCUCCUU
rnacentral:rRNA from 1 species